AAGCCAACCAAUAAGUCUGCUCACCUGAGUAGGUUUCUGCAGAAAUUUAGAGAGAGCUGCUAAGAGGAAAGUCAUGUUAUAAGCCUUAAACACACUGAAGUCACUAAGGUCUCUGAAAAUGGCUAUAAGA